rnacentral:lncRNA from 1 species
CUCUUCUUUUAUUUUUAUUAUUUUAAUAUUAUUAAUAAUAUUUUAUAAUAUUUUUUAUCUACAGUAUUGCCAUCCCUUAUUUAGAUUAUCUCAGGAUUUGGAUCACCAGUGAUCUUAGAUCACGGCGGUGAUCCAAAUUGGAUCACCAAACGUCCCUAUAGUGCUAUAGGUAUGCAUUUACAAACAUUGAUAAAAGAGACUACUAUUGCUGCUACUGUAAAAAGGCCUAUGGAAAUACGUUCUAAUGCUGUAGUGAUUUUCUGAUUAGUAUAUAUUUCUUUUAUCUUUGCAUUUUUAAAAAAAUAAUUCUAUCAUUUUUUCUUUUCUUUUCCUUUUCCUUUCCUCGCACGCCACAACCCAUAGUAGGGGUCACUGAAAUCGCCACCUGAAGGAAUUUUAAUAAGAAUUAAAUCAAGUUAAGAAGGUAAGUCUAGCCUAAAAAUUAAAUUAGAGAAGAAAGAUUAUCUAAGAAUCCAUGGCAGGGGAGAAUAUUUAAUAUCCUAUGUAUGGUCUGUCAUUCUGACGUCACUAAGAUACAAUGAGCUGAGUGAUGCUUAAUGAGAAUAAGGACGAAAAAAAAAGCUCAAGAUUGUCACGAAGGAGCUUGAAAAUAGUAGUAGUAUCAAAUCGGCAAUUUGAUUAAUAAUAAAUUAUUAUUAUUUAAUUAAUAAUAAUUUAAUGUCACCAAAGUAUAGCGGUAAUCAUAGUUCCGAGUUAACUUUUUGAUUUGUGCCAACGGGGAUGGCGGUGCAUGCUCGGCGCAGAGCCGCAGGGGGGAGGAGAA